rnacentral:rRNA from 1 species
GACGAACGCUGGCGGCGUGCCUAACACAUGCAAGUCGAACGGAAAGGCCCUGCUUUUGUGGGGUGCUCGAGUGGCGAACGGGUGAGUAACACGUGAGUAACCUGCCCUUGACUUUGGGAUAACUUCAGGAAACUGGGGCUAAUACCGGAUAGGAGCUCCUGCUGCAUGGUGGGGGUUGGAAAGUUUCGGCGGUUGGGGAUGGACUCGCGGCUUAUCAGCUUGUUGGUGGGGUAGUGGCUUACCAAGGCUUUGACGGGUAGCCGGCCUGAGAGGGUGACCGGCCACAUUGGGACUGAGAUACGGCCCAGACUCCUACGGGAGGCAGCAGUGGGGAAUAUUGCACAAUGGGCGGAAGCCUGAUGCAGCAACGCCGCGUGCGGGAUGACGGCCUUCGGGCUGUAAACCGCUUUCGCCUGUGACGAAGCGUGAGUGACGGUAAUGGGUAAAGAAGCACCGGCUAACUACGUG